rnacentral:sRNA from 1 species
AAGAAAAAAUCGUUUCUCAUUUCCGAAAUGUUUCGCUUCCGCGUUUCCGUUUCCGUUUCCAUGCAACAUAGAUUGUUCUCUAUAUCCUAUCAGAAAGUACGUGAAAGUGAAAUGAAAGUGAAAACAAAUCACAAUGUUAGAAGGAUGAGGAUAAACAUAGAGGGAAAGAAA